AAAUGUGACAUUGUUACAGGCAAAUCCCAGUGUUUCCCCUUUGGAGGAGGUCGAGCUGUCUCCCCUCCACUUGAGUUGCUAAGAUAGAAGCUAUCAAGGUAGCUGAAACUCAGCUACACCACUCUAGAGUAAAACAGAAUUCCAGGGAAUCCGACUCUAGGAGGCCAAGAGACAACGCACUCAAAGCCCUGCUCUCACCACACCGGAAGCUGGUGAGUCUACGCACGGCUGAAGAAGGAGAACUACAAUCUAGAUAUAGACUCUUAUAUUGUGUCAUACUGUUAUGAGUUAUUAUACUUCUAAAUUAAGAGUUUAUGAGCCUACAGAUGAUAAAAAUAUGAAAACUUUUUGUGCUCUGGGAAUCCUAAUCCCCAAUUUAGCUGUCUAAGAGAUGCCUUUACAAAUUGCUGUGACCCCUUAGCUAAAAAUUGAAAACAAUGAAUCAAGGAUUUGAUUCUACUUAAGAUCAGUGGGGAUUGUAAGACUUGAAUAGGCUAAAGUGACUCCAUGCUAAUAGGCCAGACUGUGCUUCUUCAUAUGCUAAUUGCUACCUUAGUUAACAG
rnacentral:lncRNA from 1 species